rfam:Triticum aestivum genome assembly, contig: Triticum_aestivum_CS42_TGACv1_scaffold_221045_3B
GCCCGUCUAGCUCAGUCGGUAGAGCGCAAGGCUCUUAACCUUGUGGUCUUGGGGCUCGUGGUCUUGGGUUCGAGCCCCAAGGUGGGCG